GUAUCUGGGACUACAGGCAUGUGCCACCAUGCCUGGCUAAUUUUGUAUUUUUAGUAGAGACGGGAUUUCACCAUGUUUGCCAGGCUGGAUCUCUGCAUUUUCUAAAAGAUUUUUGUUGCAAAUUUAAAUAUACUAAGUUUUUUUGUAGACUAAUUGAUUUUCUCUUUUCUCCCCUUAGGUUGAGAAAUGGAGUGAAGUUUUGUAAAGUACAAAACUUUCCUGAGGUAUGGGCAUUAUUUUAAUUCAACUUAUAUUGUGUGGUAGGAACAUAAAGUAUUAAUGUAACAAAAUGUAGUAAUAAAUUCUCUUUGCUUGGUUGAAGAAUUGAAUGAUUGCUAUGCAUGCCUUUUUAAGAUUAUUCAGUUUUAAAAUAUUGAGUUAAAUACCGUAAGUGCCCUUUAACAAUGUGCUGUGUUGAACAAAGUUUAAUCAUACUUGCAGGAUCUUGCCAGGUCUAAAGUGUAAAAUUAGAAAAACAAAUAGCAGUGAACUUAGAAAGUACCAUGUUUCACCAUUUCCAUAUUUUUAACAUCUCUGGAAGCAGGUUAUAAUUGCAGAUCAAUACUUAACCUUGACACUUCAGUAUAUAUUGAAUAGACUGCUUUAUCUAGCAUUUAAAACGAAAUAAAAAUCUAAAUAACUUCAUAAUUGUAAUUUGAUUGAACACCUCAGUUUCUUGCUUGUUGAAUAAAAAUGUUACUAAGUUUUACCUGUUAUAAUGCUUUUUGUUUUCUGUAUUGACAAAUUAGUUUUGAAUUUUAUUCUUUUUUAGAUUUUGUGCAUCCACCUUAAAAGAUUCAGACAUGAACUAAUGUUUUCCACCAAAAUCAGUACCCAUGUUUCAUUUCCGCUAGAAGGCUUGGAUCUUCAGCCAUUUCUUGCUAAGGAUAGUCCAGCUCAAAUUGUGACAUAUGAUCUUCUGUCAGUCAUUUGCCAUCAUGGAACUGCAAGUAGUAAGUAUAUAGGUUUAACAGUUGUUCCUAGAUUUAAAAAAAAAUUAAAAUAAGCCUGGGCGUGGUGGCUCAUACCUGUAAUACCAGCCUUUUGGGAGAAUGAGGUGGGAGAAUCACUUAAUUAAAGCCAGGAGUUUGAGACCAGCUUGGGCAGCAUAGUGAAACCCCAUCUCUACAAAAUAAAUAAAUAAACAUCCUAAUUAAUCUUUUAAAUAAUAUCUGAAUAAAAGAAAAAAUGUUAAAAACAGAUGUUACUGCUAAUUAUUAAAAACAUGUCAGAUAAUUUUAUGCAAUUAAAUAUUUUUACUAUGAUGUUUCCAAUAUUGAAAAUUGUAUACAGUUAAUAAGGCAUUAACAUGAUUUUUUUUUUUUUUUUGGAGACAGAGUCUCACUCUGUUGCCCAGGCUGGAGUGCAGUGGCGCGAUCUUGGCUCACUGCAACCACCGCCUCCCAGGUUCACGCCAUUCUCCUGCCUCAGCCUCCCAAGUAGCUGGGACUACAGGCGCCUGCCACCACGCCCAGCUAAUUUUUUUGUAUUUUUAGUGGAGACGGGGUUUCACCGUGUUAGCCAGGAUGGUCUCGAUCUCCUGACCUCGUGAUCUGCCCGCCUCGGCCUCCCGAAGUGGUGGGAUUACAGGUGUGAGCCACCAUGCCUGGCCCUAACAUGAUUUUUAUACUGGAUUUUUUAAGAUUAUGUGUUCUAGCUGGGUGUGGUGGCUCAUACCUGUAAUCCCAGCACUGGGAGGCCAAGGCAGGUGGAUCAUCUGAAGUCAGGAGUUCGUGACCAGUCUGGCCGACAUUGUGAAACCCCGUCUCUACUAA
rnacentral:lncRNA from 10 species